UCCUAAAGUGUCAGGCAGGUCUGCAAAGU
rnacentral:piRNA from 1 species